rnacentral:lncRNA from 1 species
CCUACAAAAACUGAGAUUAUUAAUGCUAGAUUUUGCAUCUGAAGAAACAAAGCCAUGCAGAUUAUAAAUAUUGCACGUAUAACAACACUGGAAUCAGUAGAGUAACACACUACCUGUACUUCUGAGUGUUCAGCAAAAAUUCUGAACCUACUAUAAAAUAAAAACAAUGCAGAAGGGAGGCAGGUGGAAAUAUUUAAAUCUCUCUCUUAAAUAAACAGGAAUGGAGAUAUUUGUAAAGAUUUUAAAUGGAAGUUAAUGUAUGUGAACAACAAUAUAAUGAAAUAUUGCCAACAGACAACCCAUUAAGAAUGAGAUAAGAACAUCAUCAUUAACUGAAGUGGGAGCAAGAUGAGGCUUUGAAGAUAACCCCAUACCAGUCUACUGAAACAAGGCCAAAAUUUGCAGGUACAGAAGACUUCCUGUGCGUGAAACCAUGAAUGCAACACAAUGAUCAAGAGCACGUGUUAUUAACCUUGCAGCAUAUUUAGUUUUCUUAUUGGUAUUUUUCUUUAAAAAAAAAAAUCUUGAAUUGCCACUACAGUAAAGUCUUUACAUAAACGUGGGGUUAAGACACAAGAACACCAUGUCUAUAUUUUUAACACUUGCUUAUAUGGCACUUAGUGACAUCUAAAUCACAGGUUUGGUUCUGUCUAAUACAAACACAAGGACUACUCUUUCCACACCACAUUUCAGUAGUGCAGGUCUCAGGAACAGACUCAGAUCUAUGUCUACUUCUAGCGCCACUGUGACUGCCUCCAGUUUUCACAGCUCACUGCUCUACUGCAUUUCCCUUGUCAGAGCCCCUUAUUACCUUUAACUUACAUAGUAAUCUCUUCUGAACUGAGAUUACCUUUUCUGCCAUGUUCGUAUUCCACUUGACAAAAUGAGCUCCCAUCAUAUUACACACUUUAAUGGUGAUUUCUAGAAAAAAAAAGAAAUGUAGAAAAAUAAUAAAAGCAAAGUAAUAGGAGGGGAAGGUCCUGGACGAGGAGCAGGGACUGAAAGAAGAAUAUUCUGCUCUAGGAAUAUGAAAGCGGUAGGAGGAGCUAGAUAAAACCAUGGAGAAGGAGAGCCUAUUGGCCUAUAUAAGCUGGGAAGCAUCUUUGCAUAUGAAACAUGGGGAGCAGUAGUUUCAUCAUGCAAGCCAACAGUAACAGCUGUUUGUGAGACAAUGAAGUGAAAGGACUAAAAGAAGUACUGAUUAAAGAGUUUAUCUGCUCCACAGCCUGUCACCCACUGGAGAGAAUUUGGCCCUUUAGGAGCACUGAAACACACUGAGAUCAAGAAAGGGUGGUAACAACGAAGUGGUAAGGUCUCGUGUUCCUAGAUUGAUUGCACAACUGAUUAAAGCAGCAGGGCUUUUGGCCUUGUAAAUGGCAUGAAAAGGUACUCAAACAUUCUCUUUCUCCCAGAAUCUCAUUUACAGAGAUUGAAAACAGAUGCAAAGACUGUUUUCAUUAUUGCAUAAAAUUAAGGUGUGUCUACACUUGAGGUACCAUUCGGAGUACUGAUCUUCCCAGCUCAGAAAAGAUGCGAGACUCAGAAGGAAGUGAGCAACAAUAAUGAUUGGAUGUAUGACAAUACCUGCAUGAGCAGAAGCUAGUCAGACAUUUGGGCUUGAGAUGACUGAAGAGUAUUACAGUAUAUUUAAAUGAAAUAAUUGGUAGGGGCAAAGUAGCUCAUGAAUUCAGGAUGCAGGUGAACUAAAACGUAGAAAAUGAAACACUUCUUCGCAUAAUUAAAUUCCAUGUGAGAUGCUGUGGAAGUCAGAACUGUAAAGAGACACCAGAGAGAGGUAAUGGCACAUCAAGGCUUUUAAGCAUUGUGGCACGAAUGAAAGAUCUGGGUCUGAAGUCCCUAAGUUGCCAUUUAUAGAAAGGUUGGAUGGUACCAGGGAAAGAUUAUUCUGUAUUUUCUCUGUUUCUCCCACUUCUCCCUAAACAUCUGCUACUGGAUAUUGCAAGACUACUCAUUUGUAUCUCCUCGCUCUGUUUGUAACACCAUUUUAACUUUUUUAAGACAAAGUAGCUCAACUAUAAAACGAGAUAGCAACUAUAAAAGGCAGCAAGAACACCUUUCUGUCUCUACGAAGCUACACUCAGAUAGAGAGCAACAUUGACAAAAUAGCAACACAGGCACGUGGUAUUCAAUUAUUUACUAUUAUUGUCAUUUUUCACUGCUCUCAGAUGGCAUUCUCAAACUAGCCGGACAGCUAACAGAACUAUGUCCUAUCCCCAUUAAUUUCAUGAAACAGAAUUUGCUUCUGCAGAACAUCAGGGAAGUCAGCCACAUAAAUAUAUGGGUCUCAAAAAAUUGAUGCAAAAGCAUUAAGCUUAGUUUAAACCUCCCCCCUAGUGAAUAUGUUAUGCCAAUGAAGGAAAUGAUGCAAGAUUACUAGGCUGAAAGAAUUCAUCAUCUACUCUAGAUUUAAGGAAAUUAAAUGAUUUAGAGUCCCAGAAAUUGCAAUAAUAGAUUUGAGUAUGUAUUUUGGACAAAUAGAAUUACAGACUUGAUGGCAUAAACAGAACUGCUGAAGAAAGUCUGUCCCUGUUGGAUACAUUGCUGUUAGUUACUUAAUAUUUUCAGCAACAAUUUCGGCUACAAUGUAUUGAACUCUUCCUAGUGCUUAGUGAUGGGAAACUUCUAGUAAAGCUCACCAGAAGGACAGCUUCAGUUUUAAGAGUUCUCGCCAUGCAGCAAUUGGCUAUACUUUGUAUAUUGUUGCUCAUUAUCAUACAACCCUUACCUGUUCCUCUGCUUUAUAAUGAUGUGCAAUAUCUGUUUCAGACUGAUUUGGGCAAAGACUUAUCAGAAAUUACAGUCCCUACCAUGCAAUUAAUACCCAUAUAAAUAUAAGAUGCAAUUGAUACUUUUUAAACAAUUGUAUAGGUCAAAAACAGGAAAACAUGUAUAAUUCAUCCCAUGGAAAGAAAGCACAUUCUACUAAAACCAAGUGCCUUUUCAUCACAGUGGUAGUAAAUAUGCUGUUGAUUAUAUUCUACACAGGACUUCAUUUAAUUGAUUCUCUUUGCUGAAGCUUUUAUUAGCUUGACUUACAACCUCAACACAGAAAAAGUGUUGGAAAGUUUGAUUUUUCUCUGUUCAUGACUUAUAGAUGUUCUGAAAAAUAUCAGGUUUGUUGUUUGAAUCAUAACGUUUGUGUACGAAGUUCAGAAUUUUUCUCUUCAUUCAUGUUUGUACCCUUAGUCUACCCAUUGAAAGACUGAUUAGUAAGUUAUGGGGUGUCGUGUAUUUAAAUAAUAAAGCAAAUCAUACAUUGUUAAAAAAAUAGAAAGAACACCCCAAGCCCAGCCAGGACUGCUUUGAAAUUUCAGUCAGACAAAGACUGAAGUUGUAAAGAUUAAGAACACAGGAUCAAUAUGGCUCUAUCUCCUGGAAGGAGGCUGUAUUAAAUAUUUACAGUCUGAAAGCAUCCUGAUGUACCUGAUUUCUGAAAAAUUGAUCAAACAUAAGGACCUUAGUGUUCUUGGAGUACAUGAGAGGUGAUAAGCACACGACUCCUAUGGAGUCUGAAAUACCUGUCUUGAGCUCCUGCAAUAGAAACACAUAUGACUAUAUAUGUUAAUUAGAGUUUUCAACUACUAUUUAGUGAGUCGCUCUAUUUAAAAGCAAGUUCUUCUGCAAUUGCUAGAAUUAAAUAAACCUCAUAUUCAGUACGGAUUGACACUGAUUCAAAACUGUUCCAAAACCAACAGCUAACGCUCCUGUCACUAACCAACCUGUUCUCCCAAAACUGCCGUUCAAAUUCAAGAAAUUUAAACAUGACUACUGUAUGUAUUUAAAUCUGGUUUUGUCAUUCCCAUAAGAAAGCACGUUGUUAUUAUUUAUUUUUAUUAUAUUGUCACUCCAAAAAAAAUUCUUCAUGUUGCUCUGAGGUCAAAGAAAGCUUAAAGCCCAUUGGUACACGUACCUGCAAAAAAACAUCACUGUUUGGAUAAACAGGAUAGAUAUAGCUGCAGAGAAAUUGAGAGGAAGAAAAAGGUGUUCCUAACAGCUCAACAUCUGACCCUAAAGGAAGGAGCUCCUCAUCAUUGACAGGCUGGCUGUGGAAGGGCAGAGUACAGCACCUGACUCUUUUCUCUCUCCUUACACUUCAUAAAGGCAGAUGAUAGAUCCAUUACUGUGGGCAUGGGAGAGCAGUGAGUCCACUAGGAGUACCACCUGACAAUUGUCAGAUGAUACAGAAGCAGUCAUUCAUCAACAUCUCUUCUUCCACUUAGGGCUGUAUCUGGUACUGACUUUCUUCUUAUGUCUAUAGCAUUCUCUCAUCCUUUCAAAUCAUAGAAUAAAAUCAAAUUAUUUUCAGCAGUUUUAAAAUCAGAAAGACAAUCUUUGUCUCAAGGGCAGCUACUGAAAUCAAAAGCAAUGUUAUUGGAGGUACACUAGAUCCAUGUAGGAAACAGAGCGGAAAUACAGCUCUAUUAACACCUUGGGAAAAAAAAAAAAAGGAUAAUCUUUGCCUCACACUCCAAGAUAAAGAAAAGAAAAAAGUAAUAAAUAACUCAUACCCAACAGGAAAACUGCAUAUCCAUUUAAAUGGAAAAAAUCAUUUAAAAGUUCUUCUAUAGAGUUCAGAAGGACAUUAUUUUAAAAUCCUUGUUCUUCAAUUAAAGGAAGAAUAAAUUCUCUAUUUUAUAAUCACAAUAGAAGACUUAAUAGACAAAAAUAAUUUCCUCAAGUGAUUCUGUUUUCUCCUUGUAAAAAUACUGAUAAAUCCCAAGCUACAUGCAGAAUAUAUAAGCAGAGGCAAGUAGUCUGAAAAGAUGAAAGCUACUCAAGUGCUGCAACUUGUUGGUUUUACACAGAAAUCCACUGAGCAAUGAGAACACUAUGAUCAAUUAGACAGGAUGCAGACAUAUUGAACAGUAACAAGACUGAAUUAGAAUUUUUAAGUUUACUGCUAGAAACUGUGGCUUUGGCAUGUACAGCACAGUGAGCCAAUCUAAAGAUGAACUUGUAGCUAUCAAGUCAAACAAAACCAUAAUAGCUGGCUGAUAUUACACCAGCUGCAUAAACCAUGCAAGGAAUAAGAGAAAUACUGAAAGAGGGCUGCAUUUUAUUUAUCUAGUAUGUUCAGGCACUGCUCUGAUAUGUGCAUGUGUAUAUUCUACAGAUAUGAUGGACGUUAUUUUGGAAAUUUAAAUGCUUCUCCAAUUCUUCCUUGUCAACUUCAGCCUUAGGUUGUAGAAGCCUUCCUGUCUGUGUUAUGCAGCAUUAAACACAAAAUUGCUGGUCUUCUUCAGGUGCUCUGAACAAGAAAGCUGUUGUUAGUAAUAGACAAGUUUUAAACAGCUCCAGGACCAAGACAGAGUAAUGUCCAGAUAAUGUCAUAAGCCUACAAUGAGUCUUACAUGGACCUUAAGGAUUAAUGCUGAGCUUGUAAUAUCUGAUGAUCUCUAGCAAGAACUGUCACAAUAGGUUGACUUGUGCCACAGGUGAAGAUUUUUUUUAUUUUUUUAUUUUUAAUAAUCACAGAAAAUAAAUAGAAAACUCAUGGAGGAAUAAAUACUUUUUCCACUACACACAGUGCUGUUUAGAUAAAAAUCUGUGCAAUUAAUAGGAUUUCACAUAUACUCUAGGUAAAUACGUUGUCUUGUUCCAGCACUUAAUAUAAAUGCACGUAUACUAAGUAAAUCAAUCUACCAUGCCCAUAAUGAAUAUAAUUUAAAAUUAUAGGUGCAGUCUAUUACUUUGCCGCUUCAUGUUUCAUUUCAGCUUGUAUAUUCAUGCUAAUUGCAGUUGAUGAAGCUAUAACCCUCAGGCAUAGGCGCCCCCUAAUCAGGAUGCAUUAUUAAUAUUGGAUACUUUGGCUAUGACACAAGACACCAGCUCAUCUUUUGCCUGAGCUUAGUUAGGUUAUUGGAGGAAUACUGUAACAUGGUUGUUUGAGUCCCUGACCUAAGGAGCAAAUGAUGCUUUGGAGAAUGCUGCUGGCUGAUGUAAAACAAAAAUACUCCCCCACCUUUCCCCAGCACGUAUUUAGAAUGAGUAAUACAGAGAGAGCAGCAGUGCCAGCUUUUUUACUCUGCCCCACUCAGAGACACCAGCACAUGUGCCUUUUCAUGCCAGUCUUCACCUGUUGGUGAAGAUUUCCUACAAACAUGCCAAUUGUGAAGAAAGUGUCUUUUCACAUAAGAGCCAAGAUGAUAUCACCAUAAACUCCAUUCAAUGAAGAGACAAUUUUCGGUCCCCACUGUAUCAAAUAACUGUCCUGGAACAGAAAGACAUUGCAUGCUUCCACCAGUCCUCUCUGCAGUCUCAACACAUAAGGAUUUUAAUCCAAACAGAGCUCACUUUACAUUAAUCUAGUCUGAAUUGCUCAUUCACUGAUAAAUCCUAAAUUAAUUUGGGAAAGAGACAGGGGCACUGCUGUAAACAGAUGAAAUACAAAAGCUUUGGAUCAACACACAGCUGCAAAUAAAGAGGCAAACAAUAUGUUAGGAUUACAGGAGAAGGAGGGGAAAAGAUAUCUUGAGAUGCUCAGCCUUUUUUUUUUUCUUUAAAGGUAUGAUACAGAAAAGAAUAAAAAUGAUGUUAGUAUGCCAUUUUAUUACAAUUGUUAGUAUGUCUUCAGCUGAAACAGUGCAUUUAGUUCUGUGCAUCUUGUCAGAACUAAUGGAGGAAACUAAGUGCCUCAGUAAGAUACCAACAAGGAUAUAUAUGAUAAAGACAUGUAUAAAAUUUUCAGUGCUAUAGUUGCAAAUGGUCAUGGUUCUGGUGUACUUAGUGAGACUGUGAAGGUGACAGACAGAAGUAUUUGAAGUAAUAAAACUGUCAGGUUAACAUCUGAAAUGCGCCACUAUAAGGCAUUAAGAACAGAACCUAAAAGUUUAUGUAAACAGAAAGAACAAUCCAUUUAUAUAUCAGGAAUAAAAACAUUUCCUCCAGGUGAGGCACUAAAUGUCAUAUUAGGGUGGGUUACUCACAGACAGCCAUUAGAAAAAUGCCUCCCCCAGAGAAAGAUCACUGUGUGAUGAUCUGGCAUAAAAAAAUCUUAAACCUUACUCUGCAACAGGACAUUGUCAAACCCUGCAUUCAGGGCCAGAUAUGCAAUAUUUUGACCUAAUUCACAAUUCUUGUGUUCAUUCGCUUCAUUGUUCACUAAACAGAUACUUCAUUUUACUUCAUUUAGCUUAGGGCAUUGUUCAUCUUCAGUUACAUGGCAGAAGAUAACAUACAGUAUCAGCAGUUUUAUCUUUUUUACCCACUGUUAAGCAGUAGCAGGUACAGAAUUGCAUCGGUCUCUUAAAGGGAUUAUAUGAUUAAACCACCUACAAGAGCAGGGGAUGAGAUUUGCUGGUGAACUAGGACCCUUCCGGCCCUAAAGUACUGAAUACAUAUUGUACUGAAAAAUGAAAGUAUGUCUAGACUUCUACAUUAGAACUGCAAUUGCAAUUCAAGCAAAUUAACAUCAGUUCUGCCUGAAUACCAAUAAAUUUGAUUCUGCAUGCAAAGCACCAGUAUAGAGGGAACUCUCUACCUUUGCGUCUGAGCCCAGAAAAAACAAUGCAGCGAUGCUUGACAGAGCCUGAGCCACUGGCAAGACAUCUGUGCUUAUUAAAAGCAACAAAAUAUGAAAUUCAUAUUAAUUUUUUGUUUGAUCAGAAUUUGAAUUUCAUAUUAGUUAUGUUUGUUCAGAUUUAGAAGCAUCUGUCAUCUGAAACCACCAAUCAAUAUUUUAUUCAUCACAAACUAUUCAAAUCCGUAGGGAAACAACCUGGGGAAACAACACAGAAUUUAAAAGAGUUACAGAUACAAAUAGAGCUCAGCCUUUUCAGCCUCAAUUAAUGGGCUUCUGAGGGGUUUUGUUGUUUCUGCAUUAAGUUCAUAUCCAAAGGUAAACUGCUUUUGUUGGCUCAGUUUCCUCAUGGCGGUCAAUUUAUUUUUACUCACUCAUAGCUACAAAUACAGAGAACAGUAUUACCCACUGUAAGAAUGAAGAAACCGAAAAUGCCAAUGACCAUUCCUAGCCAAAGACUAACAAAACACCCUAUUGCUGAACAAGACGUUGAAAUAAAUGUGAACUGCAGAGUAAGUCAGCAUUUCAACUGCUGAGUAAGUGCUUCAGCACUGAGCAAUUAAAGAAAACAUCUCCUGUUUCCUUCUACAGAAUAUUUCUAUUUCCCCAUUUAUCACAGAAAUUUUUAUUUUGAAUAUUGAGUCUGUAAAAAAAAAAAAGUAAAGAAUGUUAAAUCAUGAGAUUAUCAUCCACUGAUAACCCAUUUUCAGCUCCUGGAAGCUCCAAAGAUUUUAGUGAUAAUGUGAAUUACCAAGAAGGAAACUUUAAGCAAUCAUUCAUUUUAUUUUGUAAUUGAUUAAUUCAUAAAUUUUCACCAGUUGUGUACAUGGUUAUUUUCUCUUUUCUAACCAAAGUAAAUUAAUUUACAUUUUUUAUGUGAGUUAUUUCUCUCAAAUUGAAUUAGGUUAACAAUCCUAGUCAACCUCACAUACAUAACGUAGCAUUUGAAGCUAUUAUGUAAGUUAAAUAAAAACCUUCAAUCUGCUAUAUACAAGAGGAAAAACAUCUGUCAACUCAAAUUCUCUGUUCAAAAACACCCAGAGAGGUGGUGGAGUCACCAACCCUGGAGGUGUUCAAGGAACAUUUGGACGUUGUGUUGAGGGACAUGGUUUAGGGAGAACUACUGGUGAUGGGUGGAUGGUUGGACUGGGUGGUCCUGUGGGUCUUUUCCAACCUUGGUGAUUCUAUGAUUCUAUAAUUCUAUGAAAAUAAUAAAGAAGACUACACUCAGUUAGCAAACAAAUCUGAUGAUCUCUUUUAGCUGUUGUCUCCAAGUUUUUAAUUAUUAGAUCUGUUUCUUCUAUUCUACCAACAAUUAGGGAGAGAAAAGCAAGAUUUUCUGCCUUUUAAGUACAGGUCAGUUUCUCAGCUUGUAAUUAAAUAAAUACAGUGCUGAACCGUUUGAAAAGGUCCAGGUAAGGGAGCAUGUUUUCUGAUUGCAGAAAAAGACUCAUCCCAGAUUAGACUCUCAACAGCCUAUCAUUUCAAACAAAGUCAAUGCAGUGGUUUGACCCUUGAAAAUACUGACAACAAAUUAAUGAACUCUCAGAGUAUAAAAUUGACUAAAAGUAUAUAUAUAUAUAUAUAUUUACUAAGGGUUUAGGAUAUACUCAUAUUCUAAAGGCAUUUUGAAAAUAAGCAUUUUUAUAAGAAAAUGGUUAAUUUCAAUUUUUAAAAUUAUUUUUAAUCACCUGCUUUACUCUACUUCAUCAUUACAAUUAAGUUUAAGAAAUAUAUCAUCAGAGUUAUUUGUUCAUUGCCACAAGGGCCAAGAAAGAGGAAGAAACAAAUACAGAAAACCCAAGUCUUAGUUAUGACUAGUCAAGUAAAAUCCACACAAAGGUUUAUGUACUAACAUGAAGAUCAAUACUGAUCUUAUCAUUUAAACUUCAUUCCAAUGAAGUCAAAUUAAGCGUAAAGCCCUAAUGGAGACAGAAAGCUUUGUAUUUUUCAAACAUUAUCAGCAGCUCCUGAUAAACCCUUGGUCUGAUUUUCAAAACAAUCCCAACUUUUUCUUGUCCUUAUUGCUUCUAGGGGAUGGAGGUGGGCUCCUUAGUUUUACUGUGCAAAGGUAUGCUUACCUAGAAUGAAAACACACUAAAAAAAAAAAGAAAAAAAAAGUGCUCCUUGAUGUUGAUGGCUUUUUUUGCAGGAGUGGUAUAAGUGAAUUAUCCAGACAUCCCAGGGCCCAGAGUGCACACACCCAGGUGGAUGGCAGCCUCAGAAGUGUACUUCCCCUGAAAAGCAGUUCAGAUCUAACUCACCAGAGGGUGGUUGGGCACUGGAAAGGGCUCCCCAGGGAAGUGGUCAUAGCACUGAGCCUUCUAGAGGUUCAAGAAGCAUCUGAACAAUGCUCAGACAUAUGGUCUGACUUUUGGGUGGUUCUGUGUGCAGCCAGGAGCUGGACUCAAUGAUCCUUAUGGGUCCCUUUCAACUUAGGAUUUUCCAUGUUUCUGUGAUGAACAAGUGUGCAUCCAUUGUGCCUUCCCAAAAUGCAGCUGUUGUCAAAACAACCUUCCUCUUCCUGCACUUUGUACCACACUGACUUACACUAAGAAGCAUCAGCCCUCUUGCACCUAGAAGCUAUCCUGACAUCAGCAAGCUCCUGGGAUAGCCACUAGGUUAUUCUGCCAUCUGAGAAGCUUUCACCUUUCACAAGAAAAUAAACAUAAACACAUUUCUGGGGCUGCAGCGUGUACAUUGUUGGAUCUUCUGGGAGGCAGAAACAGAAGAUACUCCAUUCAGAAAGAAAGCAAUGAGGUGUGUGUAAAUUAAUAAGAGGAGAAAAAAAAAAAGAGAGACAGUAGAACUAUCUGAACUAGGUUCAGCAGAGAUUGCACCACAGUCACUGCUGAUAUAUACAGAGUUUUGAGGUGUGAGAAAAAAGGAAUAAGUUUCAAGGAGGUGAGGAGUGGUCAGCAACAGGAAACGUCAUGCAUACGUGCCCCGUAGGCCUUCAUAUAGUGCUAGGAACACUUUCUGGGUGUUGCACAAACUGGCAGAAGUUCAGGAGCCUUUUCUUGGCAUCUGUCUGAUUCACAAAUGGGAACUUCAUGGUGCUGAGGGUAAUUUACAGUUACAGUCCCCAGGAUUAUGGACUGGGGCAAGUUUGGUACAUACUCGCAGUGGAUCUUCUGGUUUAGCUACCUCUGAAAGCAAUCUAGUUCACCCAAACUGCAACUGCUUGAUGCAAAUAAAUAUGCAGUAAGUGGUACUAGCUGAGAGAUCUGCCUCAGAAAGAAUAGCCUGCUUCAAAAUGGGCCACCAGUGAAUCCACCAAAUGACACAUCACUGGGCCUUCCUCCCACCCACACUACCAUGUGGGUACUGCUCCAUGGCAGGAUGCCACGGCACAGGAGGAAGAGGAUGAGCACUGCUUUGUGUGUGACAUCACACAGUCUUAAUUUCACAAGCUGUGAGAUGGGAGCCCCUAACACUGGGGUACCUGCACCUCCUUCAGGGAAGGUAACAUUCAUUCUGGCAUUUCCCAAACAGAUUUUUCUGGAAGGCAUUAAUAAUAUUUGUGUGACAGUAUGCAUAUCUGUAUUUCCACAGUAGCACGAGGAUACUAAUCUAAGGAAAAUCCUCUCUUCUUAGAUAUAGGCAGAUGGGGGAGCACAAGAAAGCAGUUAGACAAUAUUGAUCAGCACAGUAAGGUGAAUACUGCAGAGCAGAAACCAAAAACAGAAAAUACAGGCUACACCUGCAGUAAAGCUCCAUUUAUAAAUAUUUUAUAAAGGUUAAAUGACAACAUGUUAGAAAGAUGGUUUAAGAUUUAUGUAUUACAGUCGACGGUAUCUUUAGGUUUAAUGGACAGUUAAAAGCAAUGAUUAUAAGCACCCUAUUGGAUUGUAAUUGCUGAUCUGCCUUUUAAUCAAAUAUCUAUUAAGCCUUUUAUUAACCCUCUGUAUGACCCUCACUAUAAAUUCCCAUCCUGAUAAAUAUUCCUGGUUUUUGGUCCUAUCCACUUGACAAUUUCCCUAGAUUAGAAAGCCCAUUUUAGUCAAUGUUUGUAAUUAAGAGUAGUUAAUACACUAUGUUAUGCCACCAGUGGAAAACUUAAGUUUACCACAGUUCUCUGUAGUAGUUAAGCUCUUGCCCACUUAGGAAGAUAGCGUUGCUUAUAGAAAGCACAUUUCAAAGCAAUUUAAAAUUAGCUCCUUCUUUCUGCUAUUAUGGUUUACUGAUGUCCUCCCCCUCUUCCUUUCAGUAUGUUCCUCGUGGGAUAUAUGGAGUCAGUAGCAGUGAAUAAAAUGCUACAAUUAAACUAAAUGCAGUAAGCUUCAGCAGGCACAAUUCCUGAUCCUGCAAGAUGCCAAGUACUCUCAAGUCAAGAUCAAGUACUUAGAGCUCUACUACAAAAGAAACAAGCAUAAAAGACAAAAUACUAAACUCAUUACUACGGAACAGGCAUGAAGAGGAGCAUCUCUUCCCUUACCUACAGGAUACUACCAAAUCACUAUUGACUAAAUGGUCAAUUACCCAGGACAUCACUGCAAUAUCAAUUUCCAUCUUUGACUCCCAUUGUCCUACGAAAAUCAAUGACUAUGCCAUCGGUGCAUAUUUGCUUUCCUAUAUGUACUUUGGCACUCCCAUUUCCCAAAACCGCUGAAGCCAGUAAUUGAUAUUACAGUCUGUUCUUUAUGGGAUGCUUAAUAACAAAAUAUGUUUUUAACAAGCCUAGUCAUACUCCAUUGUUUUAGUUAUUUUUUCAUAAAACCAAGUAAUGUUAAGGGAACUACUGAGGAUAAAUCCACGGUUCACAUUCAAAGCAAUGUCUGUUUUACCUGGCAUUGACAAAGAACAGCUUUUCACUUCUAUGACACCAUUCACACAUGGAUUUCAAAGCAUUUUACAAACACCAGUAAAAUCCUGUUGGAGCGUGCCCAGAGGAGGACCACAAAAACGAUCCAAGGGAUGGAACACCUCUGCUAUGAGGACAGGCUGAAAGAGUUGGGGCUGCUCAGCCUGAAGAAGAGAAAGUUCUGAGGUGACCUGAGAGCAUCCUUUAAAUGUCUGAAGGGGAGCUACAGGAAAGAAGGAGACAAACACUCUAGCAAGAUCUGUUGUGACAGAACAAGGGGAAAUGGUUUCAAGCUUAAUGAGGGUAGAUUUAGUUUAGAUAUAAAGUUCUUUACAAUGAAGGUGUUGAGGCAUUGGCACAUCACACAGGUUGUCCAGAGAUGUGGUGGACACCUCACCUCUGGAAACUUUCAAGGCAAGGCUGGAUCAGACCCUAAGCAACCUGAUCGAGCUACACAUGUUGCUGUUCAUUGCAGGGGAGUUGGACUAGAUGACCUUUAAAGAUGUCUUCCAAUUCUAAGGAUUCUAUGAUUCUGUGAUCCCCUAUUUGUAAAUCUAUUGCAGGAGACACAGAAAUCUCAAGUUAAAAUAUGGAGUGAGACACUCAUUAACAGAAUCAAUCGAAAAGCCCCUGAACCCAUAAAAGUCUUUAGCCUUGUGAUAAGUCCUAUUGAAAUUAGACCAUCUGUAAAAACAGGUAGGGAGUUAUCCUUUUACAGUGUGCAUACACCAAGGACACUAAGGUUAGUGUCUGUUCUCAAAUCCAACUUUUAUCAAUGUAACAUCAAUGAAAUAGAAAGAUAGAGAUGUAAAGUACCAGAAAUAUAAUUUUAUGGGAAAAAAAAUUACACAGCCUUUUCUGUGCUACAAGGCAAUUAAUUAGUCCUAUACCCUCCUAGGAAAACUACAAAAUCCUUAAGCACAAAGAAAUUUUAAAGUCUUACAUAGCUUGAGAUCGCUGUACCUCGAGUAAUCUUUCUGGCUUUUAAUAACAUUUCCAUAGAAUUUCAUCAUUCUGGAUCACUGUUGUCGUAGGAGAACUCGCAAAAAAGGACAGAAUAUUGCAAAGAAUUCUCCUCCAAAUUUAGUUCAGCAUGUUUCACUGUAAUGUGCUUUCUGCGGGA